rnacentral:rRNA from 1 species
UACGUAGGGUGCAAGCGUUGUCCGGAAUUAUUGGGCGUAAAGAGCUCGUAGGCGGUCUGUCGCGUCGAAUGUGAAAACCCGGGGCUCAACCCCGGGCCUGCAGUGGGUACGGGCAGACUAGAGUGCGGUAGGGGAGACUGGAAUUCCUGGUGUAGCGGUGAAAUGCGCAGAUAUCAGGAGGAAUACCGAUGGCGAAGGCAGGUCUCUGGGCUAACACUGACGCUCAUGCACGAAAGCGUGGGGAGCAAACAGG